CAAGAACAAACUCCCAAAAAAGACCAGAGAAAAGCAGGGUAAGAAAACAAUGCAGCCAUUGACCUCCUUCUCCCAACCCACAGCUCCUUUGGCCAAAGCAAAGUCUUUGUUAAAAAUACUGAACGAGCAGGUGAAGCCUAAAUCCAGAAGCAGCAUGUGUCCUAAAAAUAAGUGUAGCCACGAAGACGUCGGUAUAUAAAUGAUUUACUUGCUCACAACCCAGACGCAGAGGAAACAAACGUCCCUUUGGCACUGCACGCUGCAGGGACUGCAGAAAAGCCCCACAUAUGCACAGACAGACGUACGUACACGAAUGCAGAGGUACUGCCAGGCAAGAGAGGUGUGUUUUCUCAGCAGUCUCAACGCCGGAGCUGUUUCAGCUGAUAAAUGGGGCAAAAUAUAGGCAAUAAAGCUGGAACACCAAAAGGCAACAAGACACUGCCUCAGAUACCAGGAGUGCCGGAUUGAUUUUGCAAUACCACAGUGCUAUAAUCACAGAAGAUAAGGCAACCAGCUGGAAAACCACCACCUGCUACUUUAAGAUCCCAUCCUAAGGGAGAAGGUUUGCCACAGCAUUUCCGUUCUCUACAAUUAAUUCAUGAACUGAGUGCUGACAAAUGGGGAUAGGAAAGCAGAGUUAUCCCAGUGUUCACAGCAGUAAUUUGACUUAUCUUCCACCAAAACCUGAAACAUAAAACCCCAUUAGCUGCUCUGGCAGGUGAUCUCCGCAGGUAACCUUCAUCCAAAUCCUUUGCAUCACCGACCUACAGGACAGCUUCCUGACUGUGCUGAUGGUUUCCAGCAUAUGCUUCCUGAACUUCACAGAAGCACAAAUGGAUACAGGACAGUACAGCUGUGCAGGAGAAGACCUGGCAGCUCAUCACCCCCGAGCAACCAAAGAGCUGGGGGUACAUUUCCUGCAGCUGGAAGGCACCGCGCACAGGCAGUGAGUUGCAGUGAUUCAGGGAAUAACAAUAGCCACACGAGAUGGGGGGAAAUAAAAGAGUGUUCCUGUGGGAGAUACAACUCCCAGCGAUGGCUGUGAUUGGAGCACCAGCACAUGGGACAACCAGAAGUGAGGGGUGUUUGACAGCCCCUGGGAUGGAAGCACAGCACCGCUGGGGAGGGCAGUCACCACCAGCAGAACUGCAGGCAAGGAAACUCCAUCACACUGACUCAGACCAACUCUGCUUUGAAUUAAAGCAUCUAUUUUAAUACA